AAAAUCCUCAAAUCUCGAUCCACCACCAUUGCCAAUUCAUAUUUUCUCCCUAGGACAGCCUACCCCAACAUUGUCCUCCCAACUAGCACCAAAUCCCAUGCCCCCUCCACAGCCGCAAAAUCCCCAAGAACCACCACCACCAACCAGCCACACCGAUUCCCCUACCACCAAUAGCACAACAAAUCAACCAUCUCCUACACUUACCAUUGACCUGACCUCAUACCUAAACACCCAUACCAAUAAUCAAAACCAACACCCCAUGGUCAUAAGAUCCAAAACCGGCAGCUUAAAACCCAAAGCUCAUCAUACGCCACCCACCACUCUCACCACACCACCCACGUAUCAAGAGGCAGCACAACAAGAAAUUUGGCGACGAGCAAUGUUAGAGGAAAUAGAUGCCUUAAUGGCCAAUGGAACCUGGGAUUUAGUGCCAAGAUCACAAGCUACAAAUGUAAUUGGUUGCAAGUGGAUUUAUCAUAUCAAGACCAAACCGGAUGGAUCCGUUGAUCAUCACAAGGCCAGACUCGUAGCUAAAGGUUUCCAUCAACGACCUGGCAUUGAUUAUGUUGAGACUUUUAGUCCUGUCAUCAAACCAGCCACAGCUCGGCUCAUUCUCUCUAUUACUGUAAACUCUAACUGGCCUAUCCGUCAACUAGACAUCUCAAAUGCAUUCUUGCGCGGGACACUUGAAGAGCCAAUUUACAUGGAGCAGCCCUAAGGCUUUCUAGAUCGCACCAACUCAAAUCAUGUGUGUCUAUUAAAGAAGUCCCUAUAUGGUUUAAAACAAGCCCCACGGACCUAGUAUUUUUAUCUCUCACAGGCAUUACAAAAAAUUGGGUUCAAAGGAUCUAAAGUUUAUAGCUCUCUCUUUUUCUAUUCCUCUGGCAAAAACACUGCCUACUGUCUUGUAUAUGUUGAUGAUCUCAUUUUGACAGGUUCCACUGCUCCUCUUCUUCAUGAUAUCAUUAAACAACUUGGGUCAACUGUAGCACUUAAGAAUUUGGGUCCGCUCACAUAUUUUCUAGGCGUGGAGGUCACUUGGCUAAAGACUGGAUUUCAACUCUCCCAAUCCAAGUAUAUUUGGGAUCUUUUAAGGCGUGUAAAUAUGCAUGAGGCUACUUCUAUCUCCAUGCCAUCUUCUCCACAAGAAAUAGUAGAUAAUGAUUCUUCCAAUAACUUUGAAAAUCCUUCUUUAUUUCAGCAAGUAGUGGGCUCUCUACAAUAUUUAGCACUCACUCGACCCGACAUCACCAUGGCAGUCAAUAAAAUAGCUCAAUUCAUGCACUCACCCUCAGUCAAUCGUUGGCAAGCUGUGAAAUGCAUACUCUGAUAUUUAAGAGGAACAAUAGACCAUGGUCUUCUUCUCAAAUCUUCACAAUCUCCAUGUCUUUUUGCUUUCUCUAAUGCGGAUUAGGGAGGUGACAAACUUGAUCUCAAAAGCACCUCAGCUUAUGCCGUAUUCCAUGGUUCCAAUCUCAUCUCAUGGUGUUCGAAGAAACGGAAAACAGUGGCUCGGUCAAGCACUGAUUCAAAGUAUCGGGCUUGAGCAUCGACAGCCUCUGAAGUUUACUGGUUAAAAUGCCUUCUUCGAGAACUCCAGCAACUGCUUACUGCUAUACCAAAAAUCUAGUGUGAUAAUGUCUCGGCCACAUCUUUAACAGCUAACCCAAUCUUUCACUCUCAGUCCAAACACCUUAAACUUGAUUUUCAUUUCGUUAGAGAUCAAGUUCGACAUAAAAAUCUUCAGGUAUCUUACAUUCCCACUGCUGAUCAGAUUGCCAAUGUUUUAACCAAACCUCUAUCCAAACAACGGUUUCUUGACUUACAGGGCAAACUAAUGGUAGUUCCCCCCAUUCGUUUUGCGGGGGGUAUUAAGGAAAGUUAACAGCCAAUCUCCUAAAUUACAGUCAUUCAAUUAUACAAUCCCAUUUUAGAGGAAUUAUGUUGUAACGUUUUCAUUUAUACAGGGAUAUGAUUUUAGCAAGUUAAUCAUUGUAAUCCGUAUAUAAUUGGUGACAAUGGCAAUCAAAG
rnacentral:misc_RNA from 1 species